rnacentral:rRNA from 1 species
UACGAAGGUCCCAAGCGUUAUCCGGAUUUAUUGGGUUUAAAGGGUGCGUAGGCGGCUUAUUAAGUCAGUGGUGAAAGCUCCAUACUUAACAUGGAAAUUGCCAUUGAUACUGAUGAGCUUGAGUAUAUUUGAAGUGGGCGGAAUGUGUCGUGUAGCGGUGAAAUGCUUAGAUAUGACACAGAACACCGAUUGCGUAGGCAGCUCACUAAACUAUAACUGACGCUGAGGCACGAAAGCAUGGGGAUCAAACAGG